rnacentral:lncRNA from 1 species
CACUGGGUACCGCGCUCUGCAGGCACUUAGGAACACCACUUCAUUUAAAAGGAAUUGUUCCAAUUCCUUGCGGGGCCGUAAAACUGCAGCGAGGGCUGGAGCUGGUUUGGUGUCAACUGCAGAAAAUAAAGUUAUGGGAAAUUAAAAAAAAAAACAAACCCACGCACCCCGCUGGUUUCCCUGGCACGCAGGGGGCUGUAAGGAGCCAAGGUGCCCCCCCCCAGCUCGCCUGCCAGCGCCCAUCCCAAGAGCACACCUGUCAAUAGGGCACAUCCAGCAACAGCUGGGGAAAAUUAAAGGCUUAUUUCACUUCGUUUGCCGAUAAUAACUUCAUCUAUCUUUAUUCCGGGCUGCCUCCCACCCGGCAGCCGUCGCUCGCCUGGUGGGAGGGAAUCGCUGACCUAUUUCGUGGAGUUUGCUUAAUCCCAGUGAACCUUCCCAAGCCACGAGGAGAGGGGAAGCUGUGGGAGGACUGCCAAGAAUUUCUGCAAACCCCACAUCAUCUCCAGGGCCGCGGGCGCUUGCUCCGGGUGCAGGGGCCACCUCCGAGUGGGCGCCCAUCGAGGGGUCUUCCCCCGGGCCGCUGGAAUACGGAGGCAGUAAACUGCACCAGCGUUGGAUGCGAAAUAGAGACUGGAAAGCCACCAGGAGGAAUAAGCGGCGCAGGCUAUUUAAAGAGGAAACGAUCAGCUCGGGAGAGAGCUGCAGACAUGUGUCUUCAGGGCUGUGCUGCGUUCUUAGGAGAUUAUUUUAAAUGUGUGCAUCUUUUCUGCAUCACGGUCUAUCUUUGUUCCCCCUCUGACGUCUUGAGUCGGGGAUGGUAUUUUAUGGCCACGGCGGUGCCUGCCAGCAGCACGACAGUUCUGCUGGAAAUUAACUUCUCCGAGCUUUAAAAACCUCGCAGCCAUAAAAUUCAAAGUAAGAGAUCAAACCAGUUAAGCUCAGAUUAAUCUAAGCCACCGGCUCUGGCAGGCGCAGCAUCUAGGCUCCGACGGGGGAUGAAGUGCUCGGGAAGCGCUCGGCAGCGCCGGAGCAGGUGAGCUGCUGCCCUGCUUCUCGUAGCCACGUCCCGUGUCCGUCUGUCCGUCCGUCCCGGCACAGCAUGCUCCCUGCUGCCCGUCCAGACGAGUUAACCCCGACCGUGGUGCUUCCUGCCCGCCCACCUCGGACGGUGGGGCAGAAAUGGGGUGGCUGGCUCUUUUUUGAGCGGGGUCUGCCUUGAGCCGAGUGGGGCUUGUGGGCGCAGCGUGCACGCGAGUGUGCAAACGUGCACACGGGGCGAGGUCGGUGGUGGGUCAGGGGCUAAUGAAGCUCAUGAAAUACAUCCUCCUCUGCUCACUAGGCCAAGUGGAGUGUUUUCUAUCAUCCCUCCUGACAUUACCGCAUAACUUAGAUUGCACUUAAUUAAAAUAGCUCAUUUAACUGAUGGCUCCUCAGAUGCAAUGCUGGAGGUUGUCCGCUCUUCCUGCGCAGCCCCCGCGCAGCGCGGAGGUGCAAUAAGCGGGCACGGCACGAUGCACUGCUCCUGCUCCGCCACACUGUAAGGAAGGAACUGCUGCAAACGGCAUCUGGGGGGCAAUGAAAAUGCAAAAAUCCAAUCCCCAGACCCGUGAUUGGUAUCGAUCCUGGGUAACUGGAGCUUGCUCUGCGUGGGAGCAGCUGCCCAGGAAGGCGCGCAGCCCUGUGCCCCCAUCCCAUCCAGGGUGCAGGUUUUAGCUGGGUUUAGAUGAUCAUCUCUGCCUGGGUAUAGAUGAAACAGAGGAAAGUAAUGAGAAGCUGUAAUUUGCCAAUACAUGCUGAAGGGCGAGACAGGUCGUGUCUUCAAUUACAGCUGCUCACGUGCGUGAGUCGCCAAAAUAUGCAAGGUAUUCGUUUAAUUUCUCCAUUUGAGGC